rnacentral:rRNA from 1 species
GUCUUUUUGAAAUAAUUUAAAGUCUAAUCUGCCCACUGAUAAAAAAUUAAAGGGCUGCAGUAUAAUGACUGUACAAAGGUAGCAUAAUCAAUAGUUUUUUAAUUGAAAACUUGUAUGAAAGAUUUGAUGAAAUAUGGACUGUCUCUGAUUUAUAGAUUGAAUUUUAUUUUUUAGUAAAAAAGCUAAAAUAAAUUUAAAAGACGAGAAGACCCUAUAGAGUUUUAUAUUUAAUUUUAUUUUAAAAUUAUAUAAAAAUUAAUAUUAAAAAUAAAAUUAAAUAUUAUAUUGGGGUGAUAGAAAAAUUAAAUUAACUUUUUUUAAAAAUUAAACAUAAAUAAAUGAUUAUAUGAUCCAUAAAUAAUGAUUAUAAGAAAAAAUUACCUUAGGGAUAACAGCGUAAUAUUUUUUUUUAGUUCAAAUAAAAAAAAAAGUUUGCGACCUCGAUGUUGGAUUAAGAUAAAAUUUAAAUGCAAAAGUUUAAAAAUUUUGAUCUGUUCGAUCAUUAAAAUCUUACA